ensembl:lncRNA
AGCAGCAUGCCCUGAUGGCCAAGGAGGCCUAUAGGAUCUUAGGGUGCAUUAAAAGGAGCACAGCCAGCAGGUCAAGGGAGGUGAUCCAUCCCCUCUACUCUGCUUGAUAAUAUCUGAUUCUGCUAUAACACAGUCCAUUCCACAAAGUUUACUAAGGAAGCACCACUACACCACUCUUCCAAGAGAUUCAGCGUAUAUCCAAAAACAGAGACAACAGCUGAAGAUCACUACCACUGGCAAAUGGUCUAGACACCCAGGAGUAUAUAUAGAUCUAUUCAUAAGAUAGUGCUAAAGCAUAAGAGCCAAAGAAUCCCUGCAGUGAAGGUUGCUUGAAAAAGUCGAGAUAAAGUAAUUUCCACACACAAAAAGAAGUGUUUUGCGGAAUCAUCCUUGUCUUUGUUACAUAGCAAGUUUGCACUAGGCCCGCAGUCAUGAAUUAAAAACUGAUUUAAGGGAUCCUGCUAAUAAGGCAUCACGUCCCCAAACAAAAAUUAGUUUUGAACUUCAAGCCACCUACAAAGCAAAACAACAACAACAAAAAUCCCUCAAUCAACUAUUAUGUAAACGAUUUUGGAAAUAACCUGACAGAUGUGGAAAUAGUGGAAAUAGAAGGAUUUCUCAUAUAAUAGGUCUUUAAAUAAUUCACAGAAGCCCUUAGCUCUUAUACAUCUAUGGAUAUUUCCAUAUACUACUUCUCCAGUUAUGUUGCUGGGUUACUGAAGGGAAAAAAGACCUAAUUAGAAGUAAUAUAAAUUGGUUAAAAAAUACAAAAGAAAAUCCAAAUAAAUCCCAGGAUUGUCUCUACUAACUACAAAUUAGUAGUCAUUUUUAGUAAGUCCAUAAGUGAUUAACAGAAAAUUCUCAAGUGGUUUUUAUUUUUGUAAUUCAUGGAUUGUAGUGGUGAUGUAAUUUAAUAGCUUUUCUUGUGAGCUAUUAUAUAUAUGAGCUCACCACUCAUGCAUGAAUGUGUCUGCCUUGAUUUAUGUACAUUUUUCUACUCAGACUUCUCCAGUUUCAAAAGAAAAUGUAGAUGAGAAAGCAAAGAAGCACUAUUCAUUCUCAUCCAGUCUCUAAAUAGACACUGCAUGGAUUAACAGAGUAACUACAGAAAGCUGGUAACAGGACAUCAAGCAGUACUUCCAGAAGGCAAAUCACAGUUCAUCCACAAGUGAUACAUACACAUUGUGAAAAUUUGCACUUUUCAACUUUAGGAAUCUAACCUAAACUAGCUAUUCAAGUUUGAGGUUUUUGCAGCCUCCGUGCACCGCCCAAGUAACCGAAGAGCACUUUCUGCAAGAAGCUGAAUAGUGAAAAGGUCUUUCUUUACAUGUGGUUGAAAGAAACUUUAAAUUCAGUCUCUAGAAUCAAAGAAAAUUGAAUUCUGGAAUAUCUGGUCUGUAAGUAGUUCAUUUCUAUGUUAUAAUCUCAAAAUUCUCUGAGAAAAUUUUCUACUGGAUACACGUUUAGUAUUUCUACAUUGUUUUUAUUUUGCCUCUGCUCAUUUAUUCCUACCAAAUAGAUAUCCUUAUUACAUAUCUGCUUGUUUCAUAAUAUAGUAUUCUUCUUUCUUUUCCUCUUUUAAAAGGACUACUUCUGUGGCUAAAGAAAGCUUACUAGCUUAUUACACUUAAAUUCUUGUGUUGCUGGAACUAGGUAGAAGGCAAAAAAAAAAAAGUUUAAAAAUGUUAAAAAAAAAAAGGAAGGCAGAAAUAUAAAGUGCAAGAAGAUCAGAGUGAAGGACAGAAUAUGUGUAUAUGUAUAUGGCAGGCAGAAUGCACAUGUAUUUGUGUGUGUGGUGUGUAUUAAAAUAAAUUUAAGAAAAGAAACAACCUGAGAGGGAAACAGCUAGUUAAAUUUAUAGACAUUCAACUUUUAAAUUGGGGUGUUUAUAAGAGCAAUUGACUUUAGAGCCUAAUACAUGCACUAUUAUUACAGAUUUCUGGAUAAUUGAGUAUGAUAAAUAGUAAGUGAUAUAUUUAUUUGCUACACUUAUGAUCUUCUAAGGAUAAAUAGGGAUUCUUUCAGUAGGACAGCAUGAGACUUUGGAUUCUACAGAGACUAUCCUACGUUUAAUCAGUUGUGACCAGGCUACCUACCUUCUAAAAUUGGAUGUAACAUUUCCUCUUGAGCAAGUUGUGCAAUAUUUAAAUAAUAAAGAUCCAAUCAUAAGAAUACUCAGGUGGUGGAAAUAUUCCUGUUAACCAUAGGGAACUUUUACAAAAGGCUGUGCUUCUCAAGGCAUCAGUUUUCUGCUGUUAAUGAAUAUGGCACUGAAACAGAAUAGCCUGAGAAAGACAAAUUAAAAGAUAACGGAUCUGUCCUCAUCAGAACACCUAGGGUAGAAGUCCUUUGCAAAAACCGUUCUUAUAAAUAAUUUUCUUCAUGACAGAUUGCACACACAUGCUAACCAAAGAAUAGUUGGACCAGCCUGAAAACAAAGUAUACUUGCAAUCAUGUAACAUAAGGUCAAAAGUGAAGGAGGAAAUCAAGCCAAGAAGUGAUGAUUUUCAACGUAGUUGCAAGAUGCAACUGUAAAACCAGCAGAGAGCUCAAUUCUUUGCAUUUCCAGCAAUUGAAAUGGGUUGCCUUCCAAGUAAUCAAGGCAAAACUCACUUCAAUCCAGAGAUCUUUAAAAAGCUCAUGAGUACAGUACUUAAGAACUUUCAAAAAAUAAUUUGAAAGACAUAAGUGGACUUCAACUAGUUCCAAUGAUGAGUGAAUUUUGCCUCAGUUGUAGACCUUAAGCUUCCAGUAAACCUUAUCAAAAUGAAGUUCUGUCUCAUUUUAACUAAGCUGCCUCAUUGUAUGUAGAGGUGUAUCACUUAAGCACUGACUGUGAGUCAGAUCACAUCUAGUCUCCUUGAAAAAGUCAGACAUCAAAAAGACAGGACAUUGCUGACAAUGAGAAGAUUGUGUAUUCUUGCUCUCAGGAUGUACAUAGCUUCAGUAGACGGCAUUUCUCCAUUGAGAAUCUAGCAAGUGCCAUGUACACAAAAUGAUAAUUAAUACCUUAAAAAGUAGUUCGUAGAUGUAUGGAUAAUGCACAAAAAACAGCUUGCUCGUGGCAUCAGUACUUCUGUGUCUGCAGCCUAACUGUGCAGGACAGAAGUAAGGACAUCUUCAGUAAGUCCCAGAGCUCAAUAUGUGUCUCACAGUUCACCUGAUUUGAACUCAGCAACUGUUCACACUGAAGGUAACUACAUAAAAAGAUAGUAGUGCAUGCCACUCUGAAACAAGUGUAUUAGUUCACUUUUCAGUUUGGAAAUAGAAAGCAUUAACAUUGGGGAAGAAAAAAAAAAAAAAAUUAGUGAGACUGAGAAUGAGAUGUAUUCAAAACAGGGUACCUAGCAGAAAACCAUGCAUAUUCAAAAUGGAGUAGAGGUGGACAUAAGGUAUUGCUGCUGACUUUUAUAUUUUUAUUUGUUUGGUUUGGUUUGGUGGCUUGAUGCAAAGUAACAACAGUUAGCAAACAUCUUACAUAAACUAAUUAUAAGAUUUUUAACUUUAACAUGAUUAUCUUUGAUACUUUGAUUAUUUCUCUUUAAAACUAUUUUCCAAAAUAUUUUCCCUUACGUAUUUUGUUUUUGUUUUGUUUCAUAUUUGAAGAAUGAAAUGAGGAACAUAGGAAGAAAAUACACACUAAUCUUUUUAUCAGUGGAAAAGUUAAUGUUUCUGUAAAACAGUACAGAACAAAAUAUUUGUUUUCAAAUUUUCAAACCUAUCAUUUUGGUUUUAAGUAGGAGUGAGUUUAUGGAUAUGAAAAUGCAUGUCACAGAAAUAAAAUGCUGUGAAACACAUUCAUUCAGAAACUGUAGCAACAUUAUAUCAUGGAUCUUGAACAAAGAGUUUCAAAUAAACAAC